CUCAAACCUAACAAAUUUAGGACUCCUCGUAUUCUGAGGAGCAUCUCUAGUGUCGUUGUUAUCAACUCAAAGUCAUAUUCACGUCGGAUCCAUUCACGUCUGGGUUCUUCCUCCUUCUCAUAUCUCUUCCCUUUUGGUUUCUCUUAACCCAUCGUCUUAUGCAUAGCAGUGGACUGUGAGGUUGAAUCACUUUCAUGAUCAUGUCUUGUGAGGUUACAAUCUGACAAGAUAUUGCUUAUUACUGAGCCGCAUGGAAUUUUCAGAGGGAGAAUUUUGUGCUCAGGAUUAUGGUGACGUUGAUGAAGCUAUUGGUGAUGUACAAUCAGAUUCGUAUUCAGAAAGCUUGGAUAUCAUGGAAAAUAAUGAGCAAACAGGAUACGACAAUGCCACUACUUUUGGUGGAAGUAAUGAGGAACAUGUAGAAGAUAUUGAAGAACUUACUGAUGUUCCGACUCUUGGUAUGAUCUUUAACUCUGAGCAAGAUGCAUAUGAAUAUUAUAAUU